AACGAACGCUGGCGGCAUGCCUAACACAUGCAAGUCGAACGGGAUCCAGGCUUCGGCCUGGUGAGAGUGGCGGACGGGUGAGUAACACGUGGGAACCUGCCUUUUGGUUCGGGAUAACCGCGGGAAACUGCGGCUAAUACCGGAUGCUCCCGAGAGGGGAAAGAUUUAUCGCCAGAAGAGGGGCCCGCGUCCGAUUAGCUAGUUGGUGAGGUAAUGGCUCACCAAGGCGACGAUCCUUAGCUGGUCUGAGAGGACGACCAGCCACACUGGGACUGAGACACGGCCCAGACUCCUACGGGAGGCAGCAGUGGGGAAUAUUGGACAAUGGGCGCAAGCCUGAUCCAGCCAUGCCGCGUGAGUGAUGAAGGCCUUAGGGUUGUAAAGCUCUUUUGCCGGGGACGAUAAUGACGGUACCCGGAGAAUAAGUCCCGGCUAACUUCGUGCCAGCAGCCGCGGUAAU
rnacentral:rRNA from 1 species